rnacentral:ribozyme from 14 species
GAAAAAUAAAAUAAACGAAAAAGGAAGAGUUUGUCCAAGGCUGGCCUCGAUACUUUCAUGGGAGCUUUGCUUUUUUUUUUUUUUUUUUCC